rnacentral:sRNA from 1 species
UGCUGCCCUAUUUUUCAGAUCUGCUGGAGAUGUGGCGGUGCAGGAUGCAAGAUGCAAGCAUGCAAGAUACGAUAACAACCACAAGCGAACCACCCAGCCAGCGAAUACCUACUUGCCAGCAAGAAACCAGGUUUUUUUUCUUUUCUUUUCCAGAUAGCUGUAUGUAGGAACCCGCAUUUUUGACUUUGGCAUAUAGGUUGGCAAGUAGGAAUGACCCAUGUCUACCAUGCUAGUGGCGUCGCUAAAGCCUGCUGCGUUUGCAGCUUGAGACGCAUUUGUUGCAGCAAAAGCUCUCUAACUUUACAUAGAGUACGGAGCACAUACAGAUUAGAUAGGCGAAGAUCUUGCAUCACAAUCUGACUAACUCUUAGUGUGAAAAUUCAACAAAGAUUUUCAUGGGGUAAACACAGCGCUUUGCUUUUGUUUUUCUGUCUUGUUUUGAUUUGUCCUUUCUUUCUUUCUUUCUUUCUGGGGGUCUUCGUAAUUCAGCUUGUGACUUCCUCUAUUAUGCAAGCUAGGUAGCAUCUUUCAGCUUUGUAUGGAGUACAGUACUUGCAGCUCCUUCAAUAAAGUUGCAUAUGGAUAUGGAAACAAGAAUAGGCUUUGUUCUCGCGUGU